rnacentral:rRNA from 1 species
GUCGAGAAUCUUCCGCAAUGCACGAAAGCGUGACGGAGCGACACCGCGUGAUGGAUGAAGUCCUUCGGGGCGUAAACAUCUUUUAUAAAGGAGGAAAUUUUUGACGUUACUUUAUGAAUAAGGGGCUCCCAAUCUCGUGCCAGCAGGAGCGGUAAUACGAGAGCCUCAAGCGUUAUCCGGAAUCAUUGGGCGUAAAGGGUGCGUAGGUGGUUUGAUUAGUCUCCCGUUAAAACUUCGAGCUUAACUCGAAAAGAGCGGGGGAAACGGUCAAACUAGAGUAUGUGAGAGGUGUGUGGAACUCAUGGUGUAGGGGUGAAAUCCGUUGAUAUCAUGGGGAACACCAAAAGCGAAGGCAGCACACUGGCACAUCACUGACACUGAGGCACGAAACCUAAGGUAGCGAAUGGGAUUAGAAACCCGUGUAGUCC